rnacentral:tRNA from 1 species
GACCCAUUAGCUCAGCCGGUAGAGCACCUGACUUUUAAUCAGGGUGUCCCGCGUUCGAGUCGCGGAUGGGUCACCA